UACGAAGGGGGCUAGCGUUGCUCGGAAUCACUGGGCGUAAAGCGCACGUAGGCGGCUUCUUAAGUCAGGGGUGAAAUCCUGGAGCUCAACUCCAGAACUGCCUUUGAUACUGAGAAGCUUGAAUCCGGGAGAGGGAUGUGGAAUUCCAGGUGUAGCGGUGAAAUGCGUAGAUAUCUGGAGGAACACCGGUGGCGAAGGCGGCAUCCUGGACCGGUAUUGACGCUGAGGCGCGAAAGCUAGGGGAGCAAACGGG
rnacentral:rRNA from 1 species